GUCCCUAUAAAACAGAUGCCGUCUCGCGCACAUCUAACCAGUCUCAUUACGUACUGCCCGCGAUAUAGACGUGUUCGACAAAAUUAAUCGUAUAUUAAAUUAAUAGAAUAUUGAUUGUUCUUUGUGUUAAAACAUUGCUAACGCCGAGGUAUCAAGUACAACGAAGGUGGGAGAUUACACAGUUCUCGUGGUGCGUCACCAAGAUGGCUGCCACAGUAGCAACGGGCCGGUGUAGCGAUUAUACUACAUUUGACGUGAUGGUGGUGUGGUUGGUCGACAACUCGAGACUGCGAAAAAAAACCGGCGGCACCAGAUCGAGUGGAGUUAUUGUAGAUUAUUUAAAGAGUUUCUUGAUAACGGGUUACAGCUACAAAAAUGCCAGAAAAUUAAGUAAACAAUUUGAAUGAAUAACAA